rnacentral:rRNA from 1 species
UACGAAGGGGGCUAGCGUUGCUCGGAAUCACUGGGCGUAAAGCGCACGUAGGCGGCUCUUUAAGUCAGAGGUGAAAUCCUGGGGCUCAACCCCAGAACUGCCUUUGAUACUGAGGAGCUUGAGUCCGGGAGAGGUGAGUGGAACUGCGAGUGUAGAGGUGAAAUUCGUAGAUAUUCGCAAGAACACCGGUGGCGAAAGCGGCUCACUGGGUCUCUUCUGACGCUGAGGCACGAAAGCUAGGGGAGCGAACGGG